AUGCUUCAGCAGCACAUAGACUAAAAUUGGAACACUACAGAGAAGAUUAGCAUGGUUCCUGUGCAAGGAUGACAUGCGGAUUUAUGAAGCUUUCCAUAUUUUC